rnacentral:siRNA from 1 species
CAAUACUGGACUACAAAAUGAU